rnacentral:rRNA from 1 species
UGAGAGGGUGAUCGGCCACACUGGGACUGAGACACGGCCCAGACUCUACGGGAGGCAGCAGUGGGGAAUAUUGCACAAUGGGCGCAAGCCUGAUGCAGCGACGCCGCGUGAGGGAUGACGGCCUUCGGGUUGUAAACCUCUUUCACCAGGGACGAAGCGUGAGUGACGGUACCUGGAGAAGAAGCACCGGCCAACUACGUGCCAGCAGCCGCGGUAAUACGUAGGGUGCGAGCGUUGUCCGGAAUUACUGGGCGUAAAGAGCUCGUAGGCGGUUUGUCGCGUCGUCUGUGAAAUUCUGCAGCUUAACUGUAGGCGUGCAGGCGAUACGGGCAGACUUGAGUACUACAGGGGAGACUGGAAUUCCUGGUGUAGCGGUGAAAUGCGCAGAUAUCAGGAGGAACACCGGUGGCGAAGGCGGGUCUCUGGGUAGUAACUGACGCUGAGGAGCGAAAGCGUGGGUAGCGAACAGGAUUAGAUACCCUGGUAGUCCACGCCGUAAACGGUGGGUACUAGGUGUGGGGCUCAUUUCACGAGUUCCGUGCCGUAGCUAACGCAUUAAGUACCCCGCC